CUUGUUGUGUGGUCCACAGAAUAUUUCGAGUACAGUAUUUCGAGCUUCUUGAAUUGUUUCAAGAUGGUUUCAAGCAAAUCAUAUCGAGUACGGUCGUACGGUGACAAGAAGAAGCGAGCAACACUCUACAGCAUCUGCGACCCAGCCAUCGCUCGCUCCCUUCGUUCUCCUGGCGCACCAUCGGAUGUGGCCUACGAAUAGAUCACAUCUGCGGGCCUCUUUCAAACCAAUUCUUGCCGCGACCGUCGGUGGCAGUACAGCUGGUAGUACAGCGUUUCAAGUUUGGAGCACGUGAACAGCAGCCCGGCGAGUCCGUACUUCAUCGCAGAACAGCAACGUCCUACGGGACACUAGCCAAGGAGGGUACACCGGUAGUGUAAGGGUAGUUCGCCUGGUUCUCGGGUGGAUUUGUUCGCUGCGAAGGUGCGCACUCGCGCUACGGUGAGGCGUAAAUAAAAAGCCUCUGCCCGCGAUAAGAAUAGAGGAGACAACACUCAUCCAACAGUUGCCUGUUCAAAUGAUCAGUGCCACUUCUGCAAGCAACGGGGCCACACCGUGAAAGCAUGCAGGAGGCAAACUGCUGCUCACAGUUCGACUGAACCCGAUUCGCCUGGGAGAAGCAUUAUUGGCGGAAGGCAAGUCAAUGAGAGCCGCUGCGAGAAGAAUCUGCUGCAAUCACCGCUUGUACUAAUCUACGAUAAUGUCAACGAUCCCCUAGUGCUUGCCUGUGGCACAUCACCAUAUGGACUGGAAACAUUGCCUAGCCAUGUGGGUGAAGAUGCCAGAGAGAGGCCUAUUGGCAUAUACGUCGACAACCAUGAACACUGCAGAAAGAAGCUAUGCUUAGACAGACUGGAAAGCAGUUGUCAUUGGCUUUGGUGAAGUUUAAUCAGUUACCAUGUGGCAGGCAUUUCAAGGUUGUGACAGAUCACAGGGCACUUUUAAGACUUGCCCAUUCCACGAGUGCCGUCACCACGCACGCUCCGUUUGGGCUGUCAUGGCAGCACACGUCACAAAUUUGAGCACCUAGCUGCAGAGAAUCUCUGCAAUGCGGACGUGUUCAGUCAUUUACCACUGAGUUACCACUAAGGGCCAGCAAAGCAGAGGAGGGGCAGCGAUGUCUUUAUGAAAUAGAAGUGAUGAUGUGACAUGGAGCAUGCAGAGGGCAAGGUUUUCAUCGAAGUACAAGGUGUUGGCUAGUGUCUUCAACUGGGUGCAUUGUAGGGAGUCAAAGCACAAGCUACCUGAAGAGUUUGCAGCAUUUGUGAGCUGCAAGCAUGGACUCGUGUACUGGGGUUGUCUGCAAUGGGGCAGUAGUCUCGUCAUUCCACGUCCAGGCAGACGGCACAUCAUGGAAAUUCUUCACAAGCACAUCCAGGAAUUGCCGAGAUGAAGGAACUUGCCCAAGAAGCAGGGUUACGAGGUUGAAAAGACAAAAUGUAGCCAAAAAAUUUUAAAAACUACCUGAAAAGUAGCCAGCUUGAGCCAAAAAUAGCUGCACAUGUGUGAAAGCAGCUGCAACGUUUUUACUCAAACAACUUAACGCGAUAGCCCUCUUGGCAAAAACAUAAAUAAGUGCAGUAUGAACACUUCAAAAAUCAGAAUUGCUGAGAUGGAAGCAUAAAUUGUUGACAUAUGCAAUCAUUUCAUGCAGGAUGACAAAGUAUCUUGCACUGUAUAAAAAUCUCUGUUCACACAUCUUAAGUGACUUUUCUUAAAAGAACUAAAAGUAAUUAAACAGCCUUUUGGCGACAAUAAAAAUGAGUCUGGCACGAGUGUGCUCCAAUUCGCAGUUGCUGGGAUUCAAGCCUAAACAAAACGGCUCACAUUUGCUAUCACUUCUUGCGCGAUGAUGAAGUCCGAGGAGUUACUAUAUUGCUGUCACAGCCUGUACGGGACCCUAAGAAAUGACGCAAGCAGUUCGUCAGAUAUCCCAUUUCCAAUGUUGAGUACAGAAUAUGCUCAGUGAAGAGUGCAGAGUGCUUUCAAUACUGUGCACUUCCUCUUAUGGUUUAAAGUUGCACUCAGAAAUAAGAACUUGGCAGAAAAAAUUGCCAACAAUUUUUUAAAAUGAAUGUACGAAGUCACAUUCGAGGUGCAGCUGUGCGCCUCUUCUAUGAAGAUGUUUCUUUAUACCAUGUUUGUACACAUUACAGAAAAUUAGAUUACCAUAUACAGUAACUUCCUUUGCAAUGUAACUGAAAUUAUGAACUGCUGCUUCCAUUAUGAACUUAUUAUGACAUUAUGAACUGCUGCUGACCAAGUACUGAAAUAUGUGUCUGUUUGCCCUACGGAGCAUCGAAGAAGUUGCACACUUCAGACAUUGGAUGGAUGUGACUCCACCAGGAACUGCAUACUUUGAUAGGCCGAGCACAGUCGCGUGUGCCCUACCUUGGCACGGAUCAACAGACUGUGCAUACAUUUGUACAUACUGUGUUUGCACCGCUGUUUGCAUUGAAGGGAUCGACAGCACAAAGGUCGUUUCAAUCGUUUCACUGGUUGCGUUUCCUUACGCCAGCAUUUUGAGUUAGGCCAGGUCAGGUGCUAAAGAAUUUAACUGCUAGCCUUGUUUCGUAUAACAAUCCAGUAUGUUGCUAUCGUAAUCAUUGCUUUGCCCCUGCAGCCUAACUGUGACUUUUUUUCUGUUUUCCUCUCGGAUUAUGUGAUGUCCAUUUCGCUCGUGCUCUUACGUUAUAUAUCAGUUGCUCCAGUUUAUGUGCUCGUGAUCUGAAUACCUACUCUCAUGCCUGAAAUGCAUGUAGGUCUUUCUUAAACUGAUGAAUGUGUUAAGCAGCGCAACACGGUUAAAGUGCCGUGAUAUUUAAGUGUGUCCAUAUGGCCUCCAAUAUGUGGCUUCAGUGUAUAGCCAUCCUACUUAUUCAGGUUAAUGAGUUCAGGUUAAUAGUGACAAAGUAGAAUAUCUACUUGUGCAUGGUUGUGUGACUGAAACAUUAUAUGGUGAAUAAGUUCCUUUUAGUGCACUGUUGAUGCAUUCUGCUCUCACUCAAGCAAGAAAAAAAUUUUAAUGAAGAAUGUGUAAACUGUACAAAUAGGGAGAAACCAUUCUUUGUGUAAUACACAAAAUGUGACUGCAUUAUUCUUUACCAGAAGCUGUGAUGCCAUUCUAACCCGUGUAAAUGUUUUUUUUUUCCGUUUUAAUGUUCUCCAGUUUAUUCCACAUUAACUUUCACCGAUGUUUUAUUUCGUUUGCUCCAUGUGUUGUAAUAUCAACUGACACUUUUGCAGUGCAACAUUGCAUGGAUACUUGAUAAAAAGACAGUAGGUGAGCAAGCGCAGACGCAAGAGAGAAGUCAGGACAACACAAACUUUUGUGUUGUCCGCCAUUUUUCUUGUGUCCGUGAUUGCACGCCUAUAUUCUUUUAUCAUGAAUCCCUAACAACCAGCUCAGCUUUCUAUCAUUCUGAGCUUGUACGGAUACCUCCCCGUGAAAAAAAAAUGUACUUAGUUCAAUGGGUUAUUGCUCAGUGCAGUGGUACGUAUGCAAAAUAACUUGACUAGGUAUAGUGCCAUAAUUGCAUCCACAUCAGUCAUCCAUGCUUUGGCAGCAGGUAUUCGCAUUUAUUAAGUAUGCAUUUAUCUACAGAUAGAUGGGAGCCUCUGUGAGACAUCUGCUGGGUCUCUGCACAGUUACCGCUGCAGUAACAUGUGAUUUGGGUAGGCCAAGAUUGUUAUGCACUUUAUUAAAGGGCUACUGCCAUGAGUUUUCGAAGGUGUUUAGUCCGCCAUACAAGUUCCCUGUAUACAGAGACGCCUCUGUGAAAGUUUGAAGCUCAGUAAGUGCUGAUUAGAUAUCUUAUUUUGACAUUAAAGUCGAUUUUUGCACGGCGCACCUACUGACAUCAACUCUAGCCUGACAUAAGGUUACAGUGUUGAUUCUGGUGACUUCACACAUCAGUAUGGCUACUUGUGAUGACGUCAGGCACCAAAACAUUCAAAAUGGCCAUUAGUGCACCACCAGCGAAGCCAGGAAUGGAGCAGCCGCGGAAACGUCACAAUACACUCAGACCUCGAUAUAACGAACACGCAUAUAACGAAUUAUCGGUUAUAACGAAGUAAAUGAAGAAUAGUCUUGUCAUAGCUAGAGUGUUAAAAAUAAACGUUUAUAACGAAUUUUCGGAUAUAACGAAGUUAUUUUCGUGGCAGAUGUGACUGUUAUAAUGAGGCUUGAGUGUAGCUUGCGCGAGCACAUGACAAGAAGCUCAUACAGUGUUGUGAUUUUAGGGUGCAGUAGGAACCAAAACUAGCUUUUGAAAACAUACUGUAAUUACUUUUUCAGGGUGCACUCAUGCUUACCAGUACAUUUUAUAGGCUCUUGGGGGCUUGGCCUUUCAUUUGACGCAAAGAAAGGACAAGGGAAAAUUUCCGUGUCGGCAGCCCUUUAAAAAGUGCAGCAACUCUUUUUGAUCGCCUUACGCAGCAGCCAAGUUGCUUGUAGUGUGUGACGCAUCAUUUUUAUUGUUUUUCUCAUGUCUCUGUGGCCCUGCAGGUUCCUUAUCCACAAUAUCUCAUCAGCAGUACCAUUCCCUCGUGUCCUUCCAAGACGGACUGCAUUCCUGCCGGCAGUGCACCUAUGCGACCAAGUACAAGACACACAUGAGAACACACCUUCUCAAGCAUACGGGCGAGCGCCCCUUUGAGUGCCACUUGUGUCCAGCUACAUUCACUGAGAGGUUCAAGCUCAUGGUUCACGUGCGCGCCCACACAGGAAAGCGUCCCUUUCCCUGUGACUACUGCGACGCAUCCUUUACACAGAGGAACCACCUCCUUGACCACAUGUGCACCCACACAGGAGAGCGUCCCUUUUCCUGUGUUCAGUGCAACGCAUCCUUUUCGAAGAGGAGCAACCUCAGUGACCACAUGCGCACCCAUACGGGAGAGCGUCCCUUUUCCUGUGCUCACUGCAAUGCAUCUUUUUCACGGAUGGGCCACCUCAGAUACCACGUGUCUCAUCGUCAUGCAGUGAAGCCCUAAAGAUUCCUCGUCUUCGAUGUCCACGGACCUGUACCGUCCGCUAGUGUCCGUACAAGGCAGACUGCAAUCCUGCCGGCAGUGCAACUACGUGACAAAGGACAAGACGCACAUGAGAUCACACCUCCGCAUACACACAGGCGAGCGCCCUUUCCAGUGUCACCUGUGUCCGGCCGCAUUCACCGAGAGGUCCAAGCUCGUGGUUCACGUGCGCACCCACACAGGGGAGCGUCCCUUUCCCUGCGACUUCUGCGACGCAUCCUUUACGCGGAACCACCACCUCGUUGCGCACAUGCGGACCCACACCGGGGAGAAUCCGUUUACCUGUGCCCACUGCAAUGCAUCCUUUUCAAAGAGGAGCAACCUGAAGCGCCACAUGCAUGCCCACACAGGAGGGCACCUUUUUUCCUGUGUUCACUGCAGUGCAUCCUUUUCGCGAAAAGACAGCCUCAGAGACCACGUGUCCCGUCGUCAUGCAAAGCAGCUCUAAAGGUCAGGGGCGUACAGACUUUUGUUUGUGGAAGGAGCAGGGGAGGUAAUUAAUUAACAUAUUAUAUGCAGAGGGUAACUUCUAAAAUGCCUCAAACAACUUCAAGAUUCCUUAGAAACUCAGUUUCUUGUUGCAGUAUUUUGCAUGUCCCGUCGUCAUACAAAGGAGCCCUAAAGGUCAAGGACAUACAGACUCUUUUGUUUGGAAGGAGGAGGAGAGGUAAUUCAUUAACAUUUUAUGGUAGAAGGUAACUUAUAAAAUGCAUCAAACAACUUCAAGAUUCCUUAAAAAUUCAGUUUCUUUUAGUGUUUUGCUUAGCAAGAAAUGUGUGUUGUUCAUGGAAAUUUCUUUACAAUUGCCUUCGGGUGACUUUGGGUCUAUGCUGGGGCUUCAAACGUUUGGUCAUUUGAAUUCGCUUCAAGAGCAUGCAUGACUGUGAAACAUUCUUGAAGUUACACAUUACGUAUGUAAUUAACAAGGAAAAUAGAGACAGAUAUGCAAUUGGAGCCAAGCCACAGUACUAGUAGGUGGGAAAUGUUUGUCUCUGUAUGUUGGGCGCGUUGGUAAUCUGUAUUGAAGAUAUACAGCGGGUGAAACUACAGGAGCAAAAACAUGUCAGUGUGUCUUCUCUGUAUCAUUUCUCUAGUCUUGCACUGCAAUGUUUGAGUCAGUUUUUGUGUUUCUUGCAUGUUUACCAACACAAGAGUGGUUUGGUUUCCCUUUGAGAUGAGCUUAUAGUUAAGCCUUCUAAAAACCAACUUCAUUGUAAUAAAGUUUUUCAUAUUCUUAUCGAAUUAUGCACAUCUUUUGUACCACUAUUUUAUCAUGCGAAACUAUCUCCAUCUGUUUUAAAUUCCGCCUCAUGAGCACGUAACUGUCCAAGGACCGGGGUACUUAAUAGCACAACUGCCCGAGCCAUUUUGUUUUUAGUUGGCAGUUUUAACGCUCUAUGGACAUUCUGGGGUAGCGAAAAGACAGGCCAAAAAGGGCAAGUCAUUGGAGAUCUCGUUCUGUCAUAUAAAAUGUCUUUUGAACUCUGGUUCACUAACUUAUUUUUCAUCACGCUCAUGUACGUUAACAUAGUUUUCCCACCAUCUGUUUUUCUGUGAAUUUGAGUGGGAAGUCCUGAACACUUCAUAUGGAAGUAGCCACUUGCCUCCGGUCACCAAACUCUCAUCAACAUUAUCUACUAUAAAGUCCAAGCCACGUUGCUGCAUAUUACAUCAUGUAGACUGGCCUUUAUUUACAGAAAUGGAAAAGUCGAAGAUGCUCGUUGACAAGAUCUCAGCAUCCAUGAAGUCUGUGAAAAGUUCACAACAGUUCUAAUAUUAGUAGCAGAAAAGGCAUUACCCCAGUCACCCAACAUUGUGUGAAAGGGGCUAAAUCCCUUGCAGACACCAAAGCACCAAGUGUACCAAGGCUAUAAACUGAAAUAUAGACUCGCUGUAUCUGUGUGUCAACUUUCUGUGUGUUCCAUCUUUUUUGCGCUUGACUUAGCCUGCUUGACCUGCGCUUGACUUAGCAUGCUUGACUUAGCCUGCUUCCUUAUUUGCUCCUUCUAUGGAAAAGGGGCGCAUUUUUCCAGCAAGAAAUGUAGCAUGUAAUAGAAAAUACAACUGUACAUUUGAUAAGAUCACCAUUUCCAAAAAGAAUUUGUUCUGAAAGCAAGUACACUAGUCGGUAUUUGAAUUAUAAGAAAUUGUGAAGUUUGGAUUUUCUUGUACUCGGCCGACUAAGUCAAUGGAACGACAAACUUGCAAGGAAAAAUAGGGGAACACAAGAAAGCAACACACUGUUGACAGAUUUAUCUUUCCCGUGUUAUGUGUGUGGCAUAUUUUUAGAUUUGCAGUGAUAGAUUAAAUUGAUGGGUUCUGAAUGACUUAAGGAAGUCUGAAAUCGUGGUGAACAGAAUAAGGCUUAGUAAUGCCAACGUAAAUGUGCAUAAAGCAUUUCUAUUGAUAAGUGGUAAUGAGACUUAUUUGCGAGAAAAGUUAUGUGAAGCGUGCACGUUGAAUUUGAAAUAGAAUAGAGCGUGGUGCAACGAAUGUUCGAGAUGAACUGCUGGUGACGGAAAUAGCGUGAUGUUUCCAGUCACUAAAUGUUUUAUAGAGUAACACCGCGAGACUAGAAUUCGGAGGGAAUGUAAUAUUUGCUGUCAUACUCAAAAUUUGCAUAAAUUCUGGAGAUGGGUGUAUGCAUGAGAUGCGAGUGCGACUGACAUUAAACCUUCUGCAUUAUGAAAAACACUUCGCUUUCUUGCAGGAGAUUCUUGAAAGUGUU